GAUGAACGCUGGCGGCGUGCCUAAUACAUGCAAGUCGAGCGAACAGACGAGGAGCUUGCUCCUCUGACGUUAGCGGCGGACGGGUGAGUAACACGUGGAUAACCUACCUAUAAGACUGGGAUAACUUCGGGAAACCGGAGCUAAUACCGGAUAAUAUAUUGAACCGCAUGGUUCAAUAGUGAAAGCCGGUUUUGCCGUCACUUAUAGAUGGAUCCGCGCCGCAUUAGCUAGUUGGUAAGGUAACGGCUUACCAAGGCAACGAUGCGUAGCCGACCUGAGAGGGUGAUCGGCCACACUGGAACUGAGACACGGUCCAGACUCCUACGGGAGGCAGCAGUAGGGAAUCUUCCGCAAUGGGCGAAAGCUUGACGGAGCAACGCCGCGUGAGUGAUGAAGGUCUUCGGAUCGUAAAACUCUGUUAUUAGGGAAGAACAAAUGUGUAAGUAACUAUGCACGUCUUGACGGUACCUAAUCAGAAAGCCACGGCUAACUACGUG
rnacentral:rRNA from 1 species